UAGGGAAUCUUCGGCAAUGGGGGGAACCCUGACCGAGCAACGCCGCGUGAGUGAAGAAGGUUUUCGGAUCGUAAAGCUCUGUUGUUAAGGAAGAACGAGUGUGAGAAUGGAAAGUUCAUGCUGUGACGGUACUUAACCAGAAAGGGACGGCUAACUACGUGCCAGCAGCCGCGGUAAUACGUAGGUCCCGAGCGUUGUCCGGAUUUAUUGGGCGUAAAGCGAGCGCAGGCGGUUAGAAAAGUCUGAAGUGAAAGGCAGUGGCUCAACCAUUGUAGGCUUUGGAAACUGUUUAACUUGAGUGCAGAAGGGGAGAGUGGAAUUCCAUGUGUAGCGGUGAAAUGCGUAGAUAUAUGGCGGAACACCGGUGGCGAAAGCGGCUCUCUGGUCUGUAACUGACGCUGAGGCUCGAAAGCGUGGGGAGCGAACAGG
rnacentral:rRNA from 1 species